UUAAGGAAAUAGGCUUAGUUGGACAUUCUUAGGUCACCAUGACAAUGUGUGUUCUUGAAGAGGAUUGUAGGACCCCAGGCCCUUCCUUGCUCCCUCCCUUCCUGUAUAAAGUGAGUGGCUUUUCUCUGGAUUCCACCAUGUGAAAAGCUAACACAGGACUGUCCACAUUUUCUUGGCUCAAAGUUGGCGCUGGACUACUGCAUGAAAAACUAGAAGUAUGUGAUCAUUAACUCCCUGGUUCAGUGAAUUGACCAUGACCUUUGUUCAAAGAAUGCCAUGUUUGCCAAAGGAUGAAUGAAUGCCCUCUGCACUGGGACCUUCUCUGCCACACAUUCUGCAGCAUUAUGAAGAAGCUCUAAUUGGGAUCGGAGCCUGGACAGAUAGACAUAGGCCUGGCUCACUUUAGUGUCACCUUAGGCCAGCAAUAGUAAGGCACAAGGUUACUGCUGUC